rnacentral:rRNA from 1 species
UACGUAGGUAGCGAGCGUUGUUCGGAGUUACUGGGCGUAAAGGGUGCGUAGGCGGUUGUUUAAGUUUGGUGUGAAAUCUCCCGGCUCAACUGGGAGGGUGCGCCGAAUACUGAAUGACUAGAGUGCGGGAGAGGAUAGUGGAAUACCUGGUGUAGCGGUGAAAUGCGUAGAUAUCAGGAGGAACACCGGUGGUGUAGACGGCUAUCUGGACCGUAACUGACGCUGAGGCACGAAAGCGUGGGUAGCAAACAGG